rnacentral:rRNA from 1 species
GAUGAACGCUGGCGGCGUGCCUAAUACAUGCAAGUCGAGCGAACAGAUGAGGAGCUUGCUCCUCUGACGUUAGCGGCGGACGGGUGAGUAACACGUGGAUAACCUACCUAUAAGACUGGGAUAACUUCGGGAAACCGGAGCUAAUACCGGAUAAUAUAUUGAACCGCAUGGUUCAAUAGUGAAAGACGGUUUUGCUGUCACUUAUAGAUGGAUCCGCGCCGCAUUAGCUAGUUGGUAAGGUAACGGCUUACCAAGGCAACGAUGCGUGGCCGACCUGAGAGGGUGAUCGGCCACACUGGAACUGAGACACGGUCCAGACUCCUACGGGAGGCAGCAGUAGGGAAUCUUCCGCAAAGGGCGAAAGCCUGACGGAGCAACGCCGCGUGAGUGAUGAAGGUCUUCGGAUCGUAAAACUCUGUUAUUAGGGAAGAACAAAUGUGUAAGUAACUAUGCACGUCUUGACGGUACCUAAUCAGAAAGCCACGGCUAACUACGUG